rnacentral:lncRNA from 1 species
AUAUCUCCCUCAAAACAGAACCAAAUCAACACGUGAGGAUGCCUUUUACAGUGACUAAUAAACUCUGAAACUCUCCACCAAAACUCAAAAUCAAAGCUUCAGAACCCUGUUCUUAACACCCCAAGCAAACACCUUGUUGCACAAUUUUUCUGCAACACAGAAACUUCACAAACCAGUCCCCAAACCUCCUGCGGUUGUCACCCAAUGGAUGAACCAACCCACCUGACAUGUACACCACUCAA